UCCCUGGUGGCUCAGACGGUAAAGCGUCUGCCUGCAAUGCAGGAGACCUCGGUUUGAUCCCUGGGUCGGGAA
rfam:Ovis aries breed Texel chromosome 6, whole genome shotgun sequence.